GACACCAUAUAUUGUAGGUACAUACCUUUCUAAUAGAAUAUUGAAUAACACAAAAGGGUUUUGCACACCUCUGUUCUGUGUUUCAUGCCAUUGAACGUAGUUUAUGUACGUCCAUGUAAAAUCAUCACAGGUAUCUGGCUUGAAAUUGUGCACGCCAGACGCUAGUUUCGUCUAGAACAUACUCAUCAGUGACGCUUGAAUCAGAAAAGCCAAUAAACGCAAUUAAACCGAAAUUUAUGAUAAAAGAGAUGCUGUUUCAUUUUUUAUUAUGAAUUAUCUAUUUUUAGAUCAUUGAUACAAGUUCACUACUUCGUGAUUUUUAAUAAGCUCAUUGUAAUGCGCGUUUAGCGCAAAUAGAAAAUAAGAAUCCUGGUGUCUAUGAUGAGUUUGUUUACAGACCUUUUUAAGGUCUAAAAUGUACACUUCCAUGUUCAGUUUUAAAAUUUUUCUUCCUUAAGAUCGGAAG
rnacentral:lncRNA from 1 species